rnacentral:rRNA from 1 species
CGUAGGGUGCGAGCGUUAAUCGGAAUUACUGGGCGUAAAGCGUGCGCAGGCGGUUUAGUAAGACAGGCGUGAAAUCCCCGGGCUCAACCUGGGAACUGCGCUUGUGACUGCUAAGCUAGAGUACGGCAGAGGGGGGUGGAAUUCCACGCGUAGCAGUGAAAUGCGUAGAGAUGUGGAGGAACACCAAUGGCGAAGGCAGCCCCCUGGGUCGAUACUGACGCUCAUGCACGAAAGCGUGGGUAGCAAACAGGAUUAGAUACCCUGGUAGUCCACGCCCUAAACGAUGUCAACUAGGUGUUGGGAGGGUAAAACCUUUUAGUACCGGAGCUAACGCGUGAAGUUGACCGCCUGGGGAGUACGGCCGCAAGGUUA